rnacentral:rRNA from 1 species
CCUACGGGAGGCAGCAGUGGGGGAUAUUGCACAAUGGGGGGAACCCUGAUGCAGCGACGCCGCGUGGGUGAAGGAGUGCUUCGGCAUGUAAAGCCCUAUCGGCAGGGAAGAAGCAAGACGGUACCUGACUAAGAAGCCCCGGCUAACUACGUGCCAGCAGCCGCGGUAAGACGUAGGGGGCGAGCGUUAGCCGGAUUCACUGGGUGGAAAGGGAGCGUAGACGGCCAUGCAAGCAAGGGGUGAAAGCCCGGGGCACAACCCCGGGACUGCCCUUGGAACUGCAUGGCUGGAGUGCGGGAGGGGCAAGCGGAAUUCCUGGUGUAGCGGUGAAAUGCGUAGAGAUCAGGAGGAACACCAGCGGCGAAGGCGGCCUGCUGGACCGCAACUGACGUUGAGGCUCGAAAGCGUGGGGAGCGAACAGGAUUAGAUACCCCAGUAGUC